AAAAGCUUUUUCCACCAUGAUGGUUAUUAAGUCCUAGGUUUCUUGUUCUGUGUAAAAGGAGGAUAUGAUCGAGGAGACUGGAGGAAGGCCAGCUCCCUUCCAAGUGUGGAGGACAGAGAGGAGGAGAUGGAGCCAGGAAAAUGAGAUGGAGGCGGACUCUGUAUCAACUGAGCCACCAAGGAAGCCGCUUAGUUGCACCAGGGAAUCCAAGUACUUCUACCAAUACUGUUAGCAGGAUAGACUCAGAGAAUCAGAUCAGCAUCGACUUCUUCCAUCAGGAAGAAAUGAACUACUUUUCCAAGGAAGCAGAGUUUCUCUCAAGCCAGCUAAGGCGUGCCUUAGUCCAGACUGAAUCGUCUGGACCCAGUUCCAGUGUGUCUCACAGUCUAGUGUGGAUCUCGGGCUUCUAGAACCAGCUUUGGGCAUUGGCAGGCAGUCCUGCACUGCUUUCCCAUGGCGUUCCAGGUUGCAACCUCCCAAGGAGUGAAAUGGAAACCGUCAGACAACUUCAUG
ensembl:lncRNA